AAAGGACCCUCAUGUUCACAAGCUCUCACAACACAAAACAAACUUGUUUCUCUUGUCUGUAUAAUAGCAUUAUAUGUAGAUCUUCUACAAAGGUAUAUUGCCACUGGAGUUGAACCAGCCGUUGCAUGUCUGGUGAAAUCAUAAAUCUAUUUUUUUAAAGAUUCAAAGAUCCCCAAAACUUAACUGCAUUGACUCAACAAAAUAACAUCAAAUUUCUAUCCUGCAUUAUUUUUGCGCGUUCUUCAUCCAGAUUCAUUAUGAUUUCAUAACACCAUGGUAAUCAUACCCUUUCCACAGGAAACAAGAUUGUUGACGUUAUCGCAGUUGGGAUGAUUGACUUAUUCGACUUUUUCCGGUUCUGCUUAUUGCUUAAAGUUUACGGACCAGCCUAUUGCCAAUAUAAUGCUCGAACCCGAUGCUUUCAAUGGGAUGUUGCCAAGACAGACUUGAAAUACUGUUAAAUAAGUAAAGGAAUAACUUUUACUUACUUUCCUUUUGUGUUUUGUUAUUGCAGAAUAUUUCUUCUAUUGUGCUGAGCUGUUGAGUAUAAAUGGAACUUAACUUUAUAUGGAA